rnacentral:sRNA from 1 species
UAUACUUCAGAUAUGGGUGGUACAUGGGUUUUGUUUAUAGUGGAAAGGCUGAGAUGGCCAGGGACACCAGUGUGCGUGAAAGAGGGAAAAGGCUUACAGAACUAUGAAUUUCUGUAGAAAAAUUUAAGAUAAAUGCAGAGAUAUUCAGUCUGAAUUGUAUAAAUAGCUUUUCAUUUGGUAGAGGAAAAACAGAUGCUUUAGGGAUGCUGAUAAGGACCUUUGCAGCUCUGAUAUGUGUACUGAAUGCUUCAUGUGCUGACUGGGUUACUUUUUUAAACACUAGGAAUGGUAGUUUCUACUUUUCUGUACUUCAAACUAAGAAGUUAAAGAGACUUCUCUGUAAAUAAACAAAUUUCUUCUGCUGUCCUUUUGCAUUUGGAGACGGCUUUAUUUCACCAUAUCCAAGGAGUAUAACUAGUGCUGUCAUUAUGAAUGUGACAAGUUUAUUUUCCUUUACGAGUCCAGCUGUGAAGAGACUUCUUGGGUGGAAACAGGGCGAUGAAGAAGAAAAAUGGGCA